rnacentral:rRNA from 1 species
GGCCAUGUUGGUUAACAGAUCCUCAUCUGCUGGACGUCUGGCGAUGAUCUUUAUCGGUUGUCGUCAGUUGCCAGCACGUUUACUUUGAGAAAAUUAGAGUGCUAAAAGCAGGCUCACGCCUAUAUAUAUUGCAUGGAAUAAUGAAAUAAGAUCUCGAUUUUAUUUCGUUGGUUUUAGAAAUUGAGAUAAUGAUUAAUAGGAUCAGAGGGGGGCGUACGUACUGUGGUGUGAGAGGUGAAAUUCUUGGAUCGCCACAGGACGAACAGCAGCGAAGGCGUUCGCCAAGAAUGUUUUCAUUAAUCAAGAACGAAAGUUUGAGGUUCGAAGACGAUUAGAUGCCGUCCUAGUUCAAACCAUAAACGUUGCCAACUGUCUUUUAGAUGCGGUUAUUUAUAUGACUCAUCUGGCGGAUCUCGAGAAAUCUAAGUUUUUAGGUUCCGGGGGAAGUAUGGUUGCAAAGCUGAAACUUAAAAGAAUUGACGGAAGGACACACAAGAAGUGGAGCCUGUGGCCUAAUUUGACUCAACACGGGAAACCUUACUCGGCCAGGACACUUUUAGGAUUGACAGAUUGAGAGCUCUUUCUUGAUUAGGUGGGUGGUGGUGCAUGGUCGUUCGUAGUUCGUGGAGCGAUUUGUCUGAUUAAUUUCGAUAACGAACGAGACUCCGGCUUACUAAAUAGUCUAAAGUUCGAAGGGACUUUUCAAGACUUCUUAGCAGGAUAAGUGG